CAGAGGUACCGCGCAGACAGAGAAA
rnacentral:misc_RNA from 1 species